GUGCUUUCUUUGGCAGCAUAUAUAUUAAAAUUGCAAUGAUACUGAGAAAGUUAGCAAGGCACCUGGGUAAGGUUACAGAAAAAUUCAUGAAGCAUUCCAUAUAUUU